rnacentral:rRNA from 1 species
UACGUAGGGACCGAGCGUUGUCCGGAAUCAUUGGGCGUAAAGAGCGUGUAGGCGGCCAACUAAGUCCUGCGUGAAAUCUCGGGGCUCAACCCCGAGCGGUCGUGGGAAACUGGUUGGCUAGAGCGCGGGAGAGGAGAGUGGAAUUCCUGGUGUAGCGGUGAAAUGCGCAGAUAUCAGGAAGAACACCCGUGGCGAAGGCGGCUCUCUGGAACGCAACUGACGCUGAGACGCGAAAGCGUGGGGAGCAAACAGG